GUGAAGAUGAUCUUAAAGAUCAUUAGUCAAUUUUUUGACGAUUCAACUCAUGUGAUUUCAAGUCUUUAAGAGCAAACGGUGGAUGCCUUGGCAUCUGGAGCCGAAGAAGGACGUAGCAAUCUGCGAUAAGCCUCGGGGAGUGGAUAAGCACACUGUGAUCCGAGGGUGUCCGAAUGGGGAAACCCCGCUGGGCGGCGUGCCGACCUAGUGACUCCCGCCUGAAUAUAUAGGGCGGGUAGAGGGAACGUGGGGAAGUGAAACAUCUCAGUACCCACAGGAAGAGAAAGCAACAGCGAUUCCGUUAGUAGUGGCGAGCGAAACCGGAUCAGGCUAAACCUUGCGUGUGUGAUAGCCGGCAGGCGUUGCACGUUGGGGGUUGUGGGACUUUUCUGAUCAUUCUGCCGAGUGGUCGACGUUACAAGAUGGUAUAGACGAACAGGUUUGAAUGCCUGGUCAUAGAGGGUGCGAACCCCGUAGUCGAAAUGCCUCUCUUGGCGUGAAGAGUAUCCCAAGUAGCACGGGGCCCGAGAAAUCCCGUGUGAAUCUGUCAGGACCACCUGAUAAGCCUAAAUACUCCCAGAUGACCGAUAGCGGACAAGUACCGUGAGGGAAAGGUGAAAAGUACCCCGGGAGGGGAGUGAAAUAGUACCUGAAACCGUUUGCUUACAAACCGUUGGAGCCUCCUUAGCAGGGGUGACAGCGUGCCUUUUGAAGAAUGAGCCUGCGAGUUAGCGAUACGUGGCGAGGUUAACCCGUGUGGGGUAGCCGUAGCGAAAGCGAGUCUGAAUAGGGCGAUUCAGUCGCGUGUCCUAGACCCGAAGCGAAGUGAUCUAUCCAUGGCCAGGUUGAAGCGACGGUAAGACGUCGUGGAGGACCGAACCCACUUAGGUUGAAAACUGAGGGGAUGAGCUGUGGAUAGGGGUGAAAGGCCAAUCAAACUUCGUGAUAGCUGGUUCUCUCCGAAAUGCAUUUAGGUGCAGCGUUGCGUGUUUCUUGCCGGAGGUAGAGCUACUGGAUGGCCGAUGGGCCCUACAAGGUUACUGACGUCAGCCAAACUCCGAAUGCCGGUAAGUGAGAGCGCAGCAGUGAGACUGUGGGGGAUAAGCUUCAUAGUCGAGAGGGAAACAACCCAGACCACCAACUAAGGUCCCAAAGCGCGUGCUAAGUGGGAAAGGAUGUGGAGUUGCUCUGACAACCAGGAGGUUGGCUUAGAAGCAGCCACCCUUGAAAGAGUGCGUAAUAGCUCACUGGUCAAGUGAUUCCGCGCCGACAAUGUAACGGGGCUCAAGCACGCCACCGAAGUUGUGGCAUUGACAUUUUUGGUAGGCCUUCGUGGUCCAGCCGUGUUGAUGGGUAGGAGAGCGUCGUGUGGCCAGCGAAGCGGCGGUGUGAACCAGCCGUGGAGGCUACACGAGUGAGAAUGCAGGCAUGAGUAGCGAAAGACGUGUGAGAAACACGUCCUCCGAAAGACCAAGGGUUCCAGGGUCAAGCUAAUCUUCCCUGGGUAAGUCGGGACCUAAGGCGAGGCCGACAGGCGUAGUCGAUGGACAACGGGUUGAUAUUCCCGUACCGGCGAAGAACCGCCCAAGCUAAUCCAGUGGUGCUAAGAGUCCUAACCCGGGCUUAGUUGAUCCCUUCGGGGUGAGACGGUCCGGUCUAACGCUCGACCCCAUGCUGGUGCGGCUAGCGUAUUAACAGGUGUGACGCAGGAAGGUAGCCCAACCCGGGCGAUGGUUGUCCCGGGGCAAGUGCGUAGGCCGAGUCAUAGGCAAAUCCGUGACUC
rnacentral:rRNA from 1 species